UAAGGAAUAUUGGGCAAUGGACGCAAGUCUGACCCAGCCAUCCCGCGUGCAGGACGAAUGCCCUAUGGGUUGUAAACUGCUUUUGUUUGGGAAGAAAUGUAUUCUUUUAAGAGUAUUUGACGGUACCAGACGAAUAAGCACCGGCUAACUCCGUGCCAGCAGCCGCGGUAAUACGAAGGGUGCAAGCGUUACUCGGAAUUACUGGGCGUAAAGCGUGCGUAGGCGGUUUGUUAAGUCUGUCGUGAAAGCCCCGGGCUCAACCUGGGAAUGGCGAUGGAAACUGGCGAGCUAGAGUACGGUAGAGGAGAGUGGAAUUCCCGGUGUAGCAGUGAAAUGCGUAGAGAUCGGGAGGAACAUCAGUUGCGAAGGCGGCUCUCUGGACCAGUACUGACGCUGAGGCACGAAAGCGUGGGGAGCAAACAGGAUUAGAUACCCUGGUAGUCCACGCCCUAAACGAUGCGAACUGGACGUUGGGAGCAAUUAGGCUCUCAGUGUCGAAGCUAACGCGUUAAGUUCGCCGCCUGGGGAGUACGGUCGCAAGACUG
rnacentral:rRNA from 1 species